rnacentral:rRNA from 1 species
UGGCCAUACUAACAUGGAUGCACCCGGUCUCACCUAAUCUCAGACGCUCAGCAUGAUUGGGGCUGGUUAAUACAUGGAAGGCUAAGGUGCAGACG